rnacentral:rRNA from 1 species
UACGUAGGGUGCAAGCGUUAUCCGGAAUUAUUGGGCGUAAAGAGCUCGUAGGCGGUUUGUCGCGUCUGCUGUGAAAACUGGAGGCUCAACCUCCAGCCUGCAGUGGGUACGGGCAGACUAGAGUGCGGUAGGGGGAGAUUGGAAUUCCUGGUGUAGCGGUGGAAUGCGCAGAUAUCAGGAGGAACACCGAUGGCGAAGGCAGAUCUCUGGGCCACUACUGACGCUGAGAAGCGAAAGCAUGGGGGAGCGAACAGG